AUUGAACGCUGGCGGCAUGCUUUACACAUGCAAGUCGAACGGGGUGAGGAGCUUGCUCCUCAUCUAGUGGCGAACGGGUGAGUAAUACAUCGGAACGUACCGUGUAGUGGGGGAUAACGUAGCGAAAGUUACGCUAAUACCGCAUACGAUCCACGGAUGAAAGCAGGGGACCUUCGGGCCUUGUGCUAUACGAGCGGCCGAUGUCUGAUUAGCUAGUUGGUGGGUAAAGGCCCACCAAGGCAACGAUCAGUAGCGGGUCUGAGAGGAUGAUCCGCCACACUGGGACUGAGACACGGCCCAGACUCCUACGGGAGGCAGCAGUGGGGAAUUUUGGACAAUGGGGGCAACCCUGAUCCAGCCAUGCCGCGUGUCUGAAGAAGGCCU
rnacentral:rRNA from 1 species